GACGAACGCUGGCGGCGUGCUUAACACAUGCAAGUCGAGCGGUAAGGCCCUUUCGGGGGUACACGAGCGGCGAACGGGUGAGUAACACGUGAGCAACCUGCCCUUCUCUUUGGAAUAAGCGUUGGAAACGACGUCUAAUGCCGAAUAUGACCCCCUGUCGCAUGGUGGGGGGUGGAAAGCUCGGGCGGAGAAGGAUGGGCUCGCGGCAUAUCAGCUUGUUGGUGUGGGUAAUGGCCCACCAAGGCGACGACGGGUAGCCGGCCUGAGAGGGUGACCUGCCACACUGGGACUGCGACACGGCCCAGACUCCUACGGGAGGCAGCAGUGGGGAAUAUUGGACAAUGGGCGAAAGCCUGAUCCAGCAACGCCGCGAGAGGGAUGACGGCCUUCGGGUUGUAAACCUCUUUCAGCAGGGACGAAGCGAGAGUGACGGUACCUGCAGAAGAAGGACCGGCCAACUACGUGCCAGCAGCCGCCGUAACAC
rnacentral:rRNA from 1 species